AAGGACUGUUUUCAAGUCCUGAGUAUUUGACAUUGACAUUUUUAUUAUUUAACCAUGGCCACACUGUUUCUCUAACCUUAACCAAGCUGGUUUAAUGACCUAAUCUUGCUUGGAAGUACUUUAGUUGCCACAUGAAAGUCAAUUACAGUAU